rnacentral:rRNA from 1 species
UACGGGGGGGGCAAGCGUUGUUCGGAAUUACUGGGCGUAAAGGGCGCGUAGGCGGUUCGUCAAGUCCUGUGUGAAAUCCCCCGGCUCAACUGGGGAACUGCACAGGAAACUAGCGGGCUUGAGUUCGGGAGAGGGAUGCAGAAUUCCAGGUGUAGCGGUGAAAUGCGUAGAUAUCUGGAGGAAUACCGGUGGCGAAGGCGGCAUCCUGGACCGGCAUUGACGCUGAGACGCGAAAGCGUGGGGAGCGAACAGG